CUAUGAGCCGCUACAUUCCCACCACACACACUUCCUCCAGGAGCUCGAGGAGAGACUAUCACUGUGGGAAGGCCAAUGCAAUAUGCAGGUUAAAGGAGAAAUCCAGCGAUUAGGAGACCUGCUGCUGAAGAGUGUACAGGAGCUGAAGGCUCUCUCAGCACAGCUGGAGAUGAGCUCAGAGUGUGUGUUUGCUCUGGAGAGGGCAUGUGUCGCGUCCCGCAGGCUGGAGUGUGUGUGUUUACGUGAGUUUGAACUGCAGAAGGUGUGUUACA